CCCCCGAUGGUGUAGUUGGAUAUCACGCCGGGCUGUAAUAUUACCGUAUUGGAACCUGGAGGCCACCGGCUCGACUCCGGUUCGGGGGA